AUGGAUGCCAACAAGGACAAAGGGAAUGACAAGAUGCAUUUGAGGGAUUGGUCGUCCCAGGAGGCUCUGCGCACAUACAAGAGACGCCGUCAGCCAGAGCCUGAGCCCAAGCCCGUGGAUGUGCCGGAGCAGGCCUUCAUUUAUUCUGACUUGAAUGAGCUACUUAUAUUUGUUACUGAUACUUUCUGGAAAAGUAGGGAUAUUGGAUGGAAGCACGGCAUAAUGAUUGAUGAAAACAGACAACACUGGAAGUGUAUGUAUUGUCACCUGACUAGGUAUGGUGGUGGUGUGUCUAGACUCAAACGGCAUCUUGCUGGUGAUUUGGAUGUCAAAAUGUGCCCAAAGGUUCCAGCAGAUGUUGCUGAAAAUAUUAGGGAACAUUUGCAGAAGAAAAGAGAGAGACGAAAGACGCGAGCUGCACAGAAUGGUGUCAACAGUGUGACCAGGAGCUCUGCUGAUGAUACCAAGGCUGAGAAGGAUCCUUUACCUGUUGACUUAGAGGUGCCAACUCGAAUAGACACUUACAUUCUUGAAGAAGGCACUAACCUGACAAAUGCGGAUCAUCAGGAGCCUACCAUUUUGAUGCCUCCCUUGUUGCUACGAGGGGUAAGGGAUAUUGGGUGGGAGCAUGCAGUGGAUCUUGAUGGAAAUAAAAAACGGUGGCAGUGCAAGUGGUGUGAUUUAUGUCGAAGUGGUGGAGUAACUACAUUGAAGGCUCAUCUUACUGACAACAGCUGCCCGAAAAUUCCAAUGGAAAUGUCAAAGCAAGUGUUGCACUUCGUUGAAGAGAAAAGAGCAGCACGACAACUUUUUAAUAGGCACCCAUGGCCCCCUUACAAGAAAAUUGAUGGGGUUAGUCUUUUUUGCUCAGAAGGGAAAGAGGAGGGGACUGGAUCAUAUAAGAAUGGUCAGCAACCUUCAAAUAAUGGUAUGCAUAUGCAAACAUCAGGGAAUUGCACUAUUGACGAGGUAUACGAACCCAAUAAUUUAAUUCCUGCUGAUUCAUUUAAUUUAUGU
rnacentral:rRNA from 1 species